rnacentral:rRNA from 1 species
UACAUGUGGGGCAAGCGUUGUUCGGAAUUACUGGGCAUAAAGGGUGCGUAGGUGGCUUGUUAAGUCAGGGGUGAAAGUUUUCGGCCCAACCGGAAAAUGGCCUUUGAUACUGGCGAGCUCGAGUGUGUGAGGGGUAACCGGAACGAGCAGUGUAGCGGUGAAAUGCGUAGAUAUUGCUCGGAAGGCCAACGGCGAAGGCAGGUUACUGGUGCGCAACUGACACUGAGGCACGAAAGCGUGGGGAGCAAACAGG